UUGCCCCAGUAACGGCGAGUGAAGCGGCAAAAGCUCAAAUUUGAAAUCCGGUGCUUGCGCCCGAGUUGUAAUUUGCAGAGGACGCUUUUUUGGCUAGGUGCCUUCCGAGUUCCCUGGAACGGGACGCCACAGAGGGUGAGAGCCCCGUACGGUCGGACGCCCAGCCGCUGUAAAGCUCCUUCGACGAGUCGAGUAGUUUGGGAAUGCUGCUCUAAAUGGGAGGUAAACUCCUUCUAAAGCUAAAUAUUGGCCAGAGACCGAUAGCGCACAAGUAGAGUGAUCGAAAGAUGAAAAGCACUUUGAAAAGGGAGUCAAAUAGUACGUGAAAUUGUUGAAAGGGAAGCGCUUGUAACCAGACUUGGGCUUGGUAGUUCAGCUGUCCUUUUGGGCGGCGCACUCUGCCGGUUCAGGCCAGCAUCAGUUGUCGGUUGGGUAAAAAUAUAGCGGGAAUGUGGCUCUUCGGAGUGUUAUAGCCCGCUAUUAUGCCCUUCUGGCGACUGAGGUUAGCGUUCUGCACGGAUGCUGGCAUAAUGGUUAUUAGCGACCCGUCUUGAAACACGGACCAAGGAGUCGUCCUGCUAUGCGAGUGUUUGGGUGCUAAACCCAUACGCGAAAUGAAAGUGAAUGGAGGUGGGAGCUUCGGCGCACCAUCGACCGAUCCAGAUGUUUUCGGAUGGAUUUGAGUAAGAGCAUAGCGGGCCGGACCCGAAAGAAGGUGAACUAUGCUUGGAUAGGGCAAAGCCAGAGGAAACUCUGGUGGAGGCUCGCAGCGGUUCUGACGUGCAAAUCGAUCGUCAAAUCUAAGCAUGGGGGCGAAAGACUAAUCGAACCUUCUAGUAGCUGGUUUCCGCCGAAGUUUCCCUCAGGAUAGCAGUGCUGAUUCUCAGUUUUAUGAGGUAAAGCGAAUGAUUAGGGACUCGGGGGCGCUUAUUAGCCUUCAUCCAUUCUCAAACUUUAAAUAUGUAAGAAGCCCUCGUUGCUCCAGUGAACGAGGGCAUUAGAAUGUACAGCACUAGUGGGCCAUUUUUGGUAAGCAGAACUGGCGAUGCGGGAUGAACCGAUCGCGAGGUUAAGGUGCCGGAGUGGACGCUCAUCAGACACCACAAAAGGUGUUAUCACAUCUUGACAGCAGGACGGUGGCCAUGGAAGUCGGAAUCCGCUAAGGACU
rnacentral:rRNA from 1 species